GCUAUCAAUUAUGGCCACAAGAUUGGGAAAAGAGAGGAGAAGAGAACUUUAGAUUUUUUACCUAAGUCCAGCAAGUCUAAAAUGGUGAUCCGACGAUCCUUUCCAAUGGAAAUCUAAGGGAUAAACACCAACAAGAAACUAUGAAAUUGGUGAUGAUCACUAUUUUGGUGGAGUCCUAAGUGAAAGAAAUAUGCGAUCCGUAUCGCAUGGCCAGGAGAAAAAAUUGAAUAGAUUAGAAUUAAAAAUUUUAUAUAAUAUUUAUAAAAAUAUAC
rnacentral:lncRNA from 1 species